rnacentral:piRNA from 1 species
UUUGAUUGACAGAAUUGGGAU